GGAUGCCUUCUUAAUCACAGCCUGUGUGGGUAAAGGGAAAGCCUUGCCUGGCCAACCCCUCCCACUCCCACCCCCACCUCCUGCAUUGAUUCACAAACCUGGACUGCUCUGGAGGAGGCUGGGAAAGUCCAUCCCCAGGGAAUACCACUUUUUUCCUCUUCUGUGCCUCUCACAGGACACCCACAUGACUAGGAGGAGGCAGAAAGUGAAUAGGGAGCUCUUAUUACUUUUUGAGUGUCAGCAAGUUAAGACAUCAUCUCCAGAAAACUGUGCUAGUUGGCAUCCAGCAGUGCCCAAGUAUUAUUUAACCCACUAGAACCUGUGACUGCAUCAGCUUUAUAUCCUGGACCUCAGCCUGGAACAAAGGAGAGCUACACUUGGAUACUAAACACAAGUGGUCUGGAUAGAUUAUGCUGGGAAAAGAAGCCUGGAGCAGGCAGUACAGUGGGAGAACAAGGAGAGAAUGGAGUUGCAGCAGACUGCUCAGGAAUUGUACAUCACCAGUAGCUUCUGUCUCAGCUAAGUGUGGGAGACUGAUACUGAUGAGCCAUUAACAAUGGUGGAGAUUCUGAAUCACUGAAGCACUUGAUAAAAGAAAUGUCGUGGGUGAUGUGAAAAUCUACAUAUGCCCAUGAGAGUAUAUUGAGUUUGUAAGUGUUGUUGCUUAGUGUGUCACAGAGAAGUUUAUAAGAAACUAUUUUGGAGUAAGAAACAACACAGAAGAACACAGUUUCAGCCUGAAAUGGCUUAUUUAGCCACUGACCAUCAGAAACAAUUACUUUUUACCUUAACCUAGAUUUGUAAUAGCAGGAUGCAUUGAAUUCCUUCAUUGAAGUGAAACCUUAGCAAAUCUUUAAGUAGUACUCUAAAGUGACAAAAGGUGUUUACAUUUACUAAUGUAAAUUUCUUGUGGAGAUAAAGUUUUUAUUCUUCUUGGGUCUCAA
ensembl:lncRNA LINC01013 long intergenic non-protein coding RNA 1013